rnacentral:tRNA from 1 species
GGUGACUCAGUGGUAGAGUGCUUGCCUUGCAUGCAUGAGGUCCUGGGUUCAAUUCCCCAGCACCA